rnacentral:rRNA from 1 species
UACGGGGGGGGUAAGCGUUGUUCGGAAUUACUGGGCGUAAAGGGCUCGUAGGCGGCCAACUAAGUCAGACGUGAAAUCCCCAGGCUCAACCUGGGAACUGCGUCUGAUACUGGAUGGCUUGAAUCCGGGAGAGGGAUGCAGAAUUCCAGGUGUAGCGGUGAAAUGCGUAGAUAUCUGGAGGAACACCGGUGGCGAAGGCGGCAUCCUGGACCAAUAUUGACGCUGAGGAACGAAAGCCAGGGGAGCAAACGGG